UACGUAGGGUGCGAGCGUUGUCCGGAAUUACUGGGCGUAAAGAGCUCGUAGGUGGUUUGUCGCGUUGUUCGUGAAAUCUCACGGCUUAACUGUGAGCGUGCGGGCGAUACGGGCAGACUAGAGUACUGCAGGGGAGACUGGAAUUCCUGGUGUAGCGGUGGAAUGCGCAGAUAUCAGGAGGAACACCGGUGGCGAAGGCGG
rnacentral:rRNA from 1 species